UGGGGGAAUUUUGGACAAUGGGCGAAAGCCUGAUCCAGCAAUGCCGCGUGUGUGAAGAAGGCCUUCGGGUUGUAAAGCACUUUUGUCCGGAAAGAAAUCCUUGGCUCUAAUACAGUCGGGGGAUGACGGUACCGGAAGAAUAAGCACCGGCUAACUACGUGCCAGCAGCCGCGGUAAUACGUAGGGUGCAAGCGUUAAUCGGAAUUACUGGGCGUAAAGCGUGCGCAGGCGGUUUGCUAAGACCGAUGUGAAAUCCCCGGGCUCAACCUGGGAACUGCAUUGGUGACUGGCAGGCUAGAGUAUGGCAGAGGGGGGUAGAAUUCCACGUGUAGCAGUGAAAUGCGUAGAGAUGUGGAGGAAUACCGAUGGCGAAGGCAGCCCCCUGGGCCAAUACUGACGCUCAUGCACGAAAGCGUGGGGAGCAAACAGGAUUAGAUACCCUGGGUAGUCCACGCCCUAAACGAUGUCAACUAGUUGUUGGGGAUUCAUUUCCUUAGUAACGUAGCUAACGCGUGAAGUUGACCGCCUGGGGGAGUACGGUCGCAAGAUUAAAAC
rnacentral:rRNA from 1 species